CUUCGACGGAGGCUCAAAAAAAAUGUUUAUAGUCCUUUUUGAGAAGGACUCUCUUCCGUCGUUUGAAUUUCACCCUACAUGGUUAGUGGGAGAGUUCUCAGGUUGCCCCGUGAGUCUACCCGCAUUCUCACUAGGAAUUACAGCGGCACUCUGAGCUAGUUGUGUUUCUAUCAUUUUAUUAAAUCACAGUUGGUUUUGUACGGAAGAGGC
rnacentral:lncRNA from 1 species